rnacentral:rRNA from 1 species
UACGAAGGGUGCAAGCGUUACUCGGAAUUACUGGGCGUAAAGCGUGCGUAGGUGGUGAGUUAAGUCCGUCGGUCAAAUGCCGGGGCUCAACCCCGAGCGUGCCGAGGAUACUGGAGGGCUGGAGACACGUAGAGGCAAGCGGAAUUCCGGGUGUAGCGGUGGAAUGCGUAGAGAUCCGGAAGAACACCGGAGGCGAAGGCGGCUUGCUGGGCGUGAUCUGACGCUGAGGCGCGAAAGCGUGGGGAGCGAACAGG